AGCUUGUUUUGGUAAUAUAUCGUUGUGGUGCUUGUUUGUUUGACGGGUAUCUGUUUGGUUUCCUAGAAAAUGAGCUGAAAUUUAUAUCUUUAAUUUGCUGUGUGUUUUUCUUGAUUUGAAUGCUGCAACCAAUUUAACUUAGCUCGAGAUAUUGAAAUUCUAGCUGUUUUCAGCUUUACUUAAUUAAAAGUUCUGAGAUUCUUAUUUUCUGGGGCAUCUCGGCUAACUUGCUUGGCUGCUUGAGACUUUUUUUUCCGCUACUUUUUUAUGCCCUCUGUGCUGUUUUAUAUUGGUGGCAUGUGGUUUUAUAAUCGCUGUAUACGAUAUGAAGUUCUGAAUUUUGUUCGUGGAGUUUAAUGCUAAUUUUCCCUGUUUAAUCAAAUGUAACUCAGAAUCCUUUUAUUAGUUGAUGCAUGUGUUACUGGAUUGUGAAUUGUUGGAUUCUGAGUAUGUGAAAUCUGAUGCGUAUGUGUGCGUAUUAUGUAUGUAUGCAUUCAUCUAUAUGGGCACGUUGUAUAUAUGUAAGCGUUAAUCUGUAGUUUGCAAUCUUCUUUUGAGAUUUUUUUUAUGUUUGUUUGUUCACACGACUGAGAAAGUAU
rnacentral:misc_RNA from 1 species